rnacentral:rRNA from 1 species
ACGAACGCUGGCGGCGUGCUUAACACAUGCAAGUCGAACGGAAAGGCCCUGCUUUUGUGGGGUGCUCGAGUGGCGAACGGGUGAGUAACACGUGAGUAACCUGCCCUUGACUUUGGGAUAACUUCAGGAAACUGGGGCUAAUACCGGAUAGGAGCUCCUGCUGCAUGGUGGGGGUUGGAAAGUUUCGGCGGUUGGGGAUGGACUCGCGGCUUAUCAGCUUGUUGGUGGGGUAGUGGCUUACCAAGGCUUUGACGGGUAGCCGGCCUGAGAGGGUGACCGGCCACAUUGGGACUGAGAUACGGCCCAGACUCCUACGGGAGGAAGCAGUGGGGAAUAUUGAACAAUGGGCGGAAGCCAGAUGCAGCAACGCCGCGUGCGGGAUGACGGCCUUCGGGUUGUAAACCGCUUUCGCCUGUGACGAAGCGUGAGUGACGGUAAUGGGUAAAGAAGCACCGGCUAACUACGUG